AUGGUUCCAAUUUCUUAUUACCGCCCAAGCUUCUAGGUCCUGGCAAUGGCAACACAGCCAUGGCGUUGCGCCAGCCCCUCACUCCUGGCAUUUGUGUCAGCGAAUUUUCCAGACAGCACACCAUGGCGCUCUCCCAGGCGUCGAAUCAUGGAGACCCGCAAGCAACCAUUGUUGAUGGCAUGGAGGGCGGCGCGGCCGUGCUUCAAUCUGGUGGGUCACGGCGCAUCCAUACGCCCCUCUCUUGUGAGUCCAUGAUACAUGAGUGCCACUUCCAUAUGGGUGCCCCCUGCAUGCGGCGCGCACGCGCAUGCGCCGUCUCUCCCCCGGCGGAACCGCUUGGGGCCAUCGCCGGGGUCAGCGCCCACACCCCGCAGCUACUGUCUGCUUCUCCGGCCGGCUCCAUCGACGCACCGGAGAGGCGCGGAUUCUCUGCACUCUUCGCAGCCCAAUCGAUUUCGCUAGCGGCCGUCGAAGGCACAUUUGUGGAUACAGCAGGUGCAUAGCAGGUAGCACUUACUGGGACUUCCAAGAUGAUAUGCUGGGUGAUGUCGGAAAUCGAGUUGAGCCAUCAACCAACGCUGCGGGUGAUGUCAGAAAUCAAGCUGAGCCAUCAACUAACGCUGCCCAGGCGCCACACACAACAGCAGCCGCUCAUGAUGCAGAUAUAGGCUCAUGAUAUUGUUUUGACCAACAUUAUGUUAAGUUUUUACAUGACAGCGCAUCAAGCUUCUUACGGCCGGUUUUAAUUCUAUUUACUACCGGAAGGUUAAAGUUUUACUUCAACUGUACCUCCAUGAAGAAACACUAAUGUUUUUUCAUCCCCCACAAGCAUCGACCUUUAACAUGUAGAUCGACGCACAAGAAUCUCGAAAUAGAACAGAAUUCUUGUUCUGCCCGA